CAAACUAAAGAUGGCGACCGGCGCACGGUGAGUAACACGUAUCCAACCUGCCGAUAACUCGGGGAUAGCCUCUCGAAAGAAAGAUUAAUAUCCGAUAGUAUAUUAAAACCGCAUGGUUUUACUAUUAAAGAAUUUCGGUUAUCGAUGGGGAUGCGUUCCAUUAGUUUGUUGGCGGGUAACGGCCCACCAAGAUUACGAUGGAUAGGGGUUCUGAGAGGAAGGUCCCCCACAUUGGAACUGAGACACGGUCCAA
rnacentral:rRNA from 1 species